UCUCCAUUAACAAAAGAGUAGAAGGAAAUGUUGAGACUGAAUCUCAGCAAGAGAACAGGCAUGUUCCUGCUGAAUUAAUAGGAUGUAGAAUGUGUUUGAGGUAUAACCCAUCAAAUCCAGCUUACUGAUACCUAGCUGUUAAAGAAAGGUGAUGUGAUCAUCUGAAGAGGUUUGGGAGAACAAAGAUGAGAAAAAUCACAGUGAGGUAUUCUUCCUGCCAAAAGGUACCUUUUUAAUGAGUAAAGGUCACAGACAUAAUCCAAAUAGGAUUUUGUGCCAUACUUUAGACUGAAAGAAAAGAGAAGAAAUCCAGAGAGUUUGGGAAGAUAAGAGAUUUGAAGGAAUGUGAGAAGAAUUGGGGAGAUGCUUAAAGGAUAAAAUUGGGGCGCUAAAAUCAGGGAGGACUGGGUUGGGAAUGCUUAAAAGAUAAAAUCAAGGAGAAGUUAGGGAAAUGCUUGAAGUGAUAAGGACAAAGUCUGGGAGAAUUGGAAUAAUAUUUAAAGGAUAAAAUAAAAAAAAAUUGGGGGAGAGGGGGAAAUUAGGUCAGAUUAAGGAAUUUUGAUUUUAGGAAGAGGACAAGCUACAGAUGCAAUCAGACUCUUCUUGUACAUAGCCACAAAAUGAUGGCAUAUGGAGUGGAUAUAUAAGGAAUAGAGUAGACUCCCAGAUCUGCUAAAUGAAGAAACUCAAGAUAGAAAAAGAAGACUAAUGGAAAGUUGUCACCCAGCAUCACUUGGAGAACACAAAGCCUAUAUAGAACAUGAACAUGAGUUCGCAUCAAAAUGAUUCCUCUGUGGUGGAAGCACUCAGAAACUAUCUCGAAGAAAUACUAGUUAACCGUAUCAUCUCAAAAUCCAAUGCCUCGAAUCUUACACCUUAAACCUACCAAGUCUUUUGAAUAAACAGACAAAUGCCAAAAAAAAAAAAAAAAA